UCGACCAGGUGAGGAUAGACGGAAUGAGCGCCUCGUGACUUGAUACCGUGUCUCUUUGUAUGUGAAGUGUACAAUGUGCUUAAGACCUGCAGUGAGAGCGAGUGCAGGGCAUACACCAGGACUGAGCGUGUGGUGACCAUGAGUACUAUAGCUAAGUUACUAUGGGUGAUGUGUGUGGUGGUGGUGGUGGUCUUCAGGACUCAAGUUUUGGCAGAGUCUCCAACGCCGUCGCUGAUGGCGCCUCGAGAGCCAGACAGCAGGACAGCGGAGGACAGCGGAAAGAGAUUAGAGGCGAUGGGCGACUCAGUAGAAGACGCGCUUACCACUGAAGCAGAGAACAGCGAUGCAGCAACAACGUGGCUAAUGGAUGGAGAAGUCUCGCCACUGCCCAUCACCGAACAUAAUGACGAGGGCAUCACCGCCCCGUCCACCAUUGCUGCAGCAAACGGCGAGGAGGAGGUGACUUCCAUACAAACCAUGGAAGAUCUCGCAACCAUCCUCACUCAGCCUCUGCAGGACGAGCUGAAGAGGGUGCAGGUGACAAAUCCCACCAAUGACAAGGAAGAAGAGGAGGAGAUCGAAGAAAAUGUAGUAGUGGUAGAGACUAUAAUGAACACAGCUCCUCUCUCUCUACAAACCAGCCGCCGCUUACCCCGCACUGUGUCUGCUGAUUUCGAGGCCUCACCCGCACACUAUAAUGAAGUGGACGCCACCGAGCAGCCCCGAGGCUUCCUCUCUGCUGCUCCCACGCUUACCACGUUCAUGUCGGUGGCGUCGCGGCGACCGGUGGAGCAUCGGAGAAGCGACUCUAGUCCGGGCAUUGACGACAUCAUCCAGGGCAUCGUGGAUCUGCUGGGCGGCAACGUCAAAGUGACGGCCGCUGAGGACCCCAACACACGCCUUACCACCUUCGGGGGCGGGGUGUAUACCAGUACCCGCAUCAAUAACCGCGGCCCGCCCAGAUUUACUCAUCUCCCCUUCGAAAUAUUGUCUUCCGUUUUGCCCACGCGGCUUCCCAUCAGGCCGCCCGUCACGCCCCCGUCUGCCACACACCCAGGGCGCCCUCAUUUCGUGGCCAACACACGGCCUCCCUUCCUGGCACCCCUUCCACCCUCGCUGGCUACCCGGGCGUCCCCUGUGGUGCCCAAGCCGUUUGCAACCGGCAUCCAGCUUCCCGUGGAUCUUUUACCCCCUGCCCCAAUCUCUGACCUUCCCCCAGAGGUCAUUACCACCUCCCCAGUUAACAGUGUUCCUGAGGAUACUGCCCCCGCUGCUGUGUCUUCCACUACUCCCACUUCUCUACCCUCGCCCACUUCUCAACUCACGAUCACAUCUACCUCAUCUUUGUCCACACUGAUUUCACAGUUCUCAGAAUCAUCCACACUACCACCACCCUCGCUAUCCCUCACGCCCACCACCACAUCCCUCACUUCACCAUCUUCCACACCUUCAACCACAAGUACGACUUCGGAAUCCGCACCAGCCUCGUCUCUCUCUACGACUCCUUCCUCUCGCCCCACGACAGCUGACUUCAGUGAGGAGUCGGGCGGCAAGGUGACGGAGGCCGUCAGUCCUCAAGGCAAUAAUGCGGAUGAUUCCUCAACACCAGCAUCAGAUACACUGACGACCUCUCAAGCGUCAGGCAGUACAAGCAAUCCCCAGGAGGCAGCCCCACCGCGCAAGCCCUCUCCCGCCCCCACCAUGCUGGAGGCCUCCAUGCUGGAGUCCUCCGCCACCACUGUCACCUCCUUCACCGAUACCUCGUUGCCUUCUCCCACCACCUCCACGCAGGCUUCCUUGCCUUCUCUUACCAUCUCCACCACCACCGUCACUACUACUGACGCCGGCCCAGGCCCUCCACCACAGGCCACGCCUCCACUGGUGCCCCCCAGCAGACCUCAGCCGCCAGUGGUGGGUAUUUUUGCUCCCCGGCCGGGCAUGGUGCUUGAUGACCACCAGUACCGGCCUGGCCAGGUCAUCACGGGUUCCGGCGUGCCCAACGUCAUGCCUGCCGCUGGGGACGUCUUCGAUGUGACGGUGUCUGCCCACCAUGGAUACGGGAGCUCACCCAAUGCUUAUCGCCCACCCUACGGCCCACCUCAGCCCCAGGCUCUGCCUGCAGGAGGUCUUCUUGUCAAUCCCGCUGCUGGACCCGACAAUUUUGUGUCCAUCGACGGCAGAAAAACUUACUUCGAUCUGUUCCCGGCCGCUACUCAGCUUCAGCAGCAACAACAACCGCAGCAACAGACUGUCGGAUUAGGAGUGGGAGUGGUGAUUCCAGAAGAGGCCCUACCUCAGCCUUAUCCGACUCCUCCAUCCCGCCCUACGCCUCCACGACCUGCACCACCACCAUCACCUCCUCGCCCACAGCCAACUCCCGCUACGCCACCUCCUAGGAAGUACUUCACGAGGAGACCAACCCAGCCCUCUAUUAGGAUCGACACUUGUAUCGUCGGGGAUGACUCCACAUGCCAGGAGAAUCUAGGGGAAGUGUGUCGCACGGAGGAGGAAGUGUCCAGCUGUUACUGCAAGCCUGGCACGGCACGGCGCAGACCACGAACUCCUUGCAAAAGAAUGGUGUCCCUGCAAGUGUCCCUCAAGGUAGACCGCGUGGGGCCUCAGCGCAUUGUGUGGACUAGUAAUUAUGCUAAUCCAGCCGCUGACGAGUACCGCCUGCUUCAGUGGGAGGCGCAGCACGCGAUCUCCAAGGCCAUAUCCAAGACUCGGCUGGGGACAGCAUAUCUGAGCAAUGCUGUCAACAGUUUCUACUCGCUUGGAGGGAAAGUCAUUGUCAAUGCAACAGUGAAUCUUGAGGAUCAGCCAGCCACCAGGACCAGAGCUGUGCUUCAGGCCCUCCAACGGCAGAUGAUUCAAGUCAUUCAAAGCCACGCUAACAACAUUGGAGACUCACCCCUAGGUGUGGAUGGCACCCUCAACCCCAUUCCUGACGUCUCAGACAUUAAUGAAUGUAAUGAGGCCACCUUGUAUGAUUGCCACUCCUCGGCCACCUGUAUCAACAAGUUUGGAACUUUCACCUGCCGCUGCCUACCUGGAUACACUGACAGAUUUACUGAUGACCCUGAGCUGGUGGGACGCCGCUGUGAGUCCUGUUCUUCUGAUUACUGCAACAAGCGUGGCAAGUGUUCAAUAAAGGAUGGACAAAAAGUGUGCCAGUGCCGAGGUUCCUACUACGGCAACCAGUGUGAGAUAGACGGGGAGGUGCUUGGAGUGGCAGUGGGAGCAUCAGUGGCUGCCAUCCUCAUCAUCAUCCUCACCCUCAUAUUCCUCUGCAUGUGGAGUCGACGUUGGAAAGCACAAGAUCGCAAGACAGAGGUCCUUGCCCGAGGCGUGGCAGCAGCAGGGACAGGGCUGGGUGGCUUCACUGUCAAUGUGCAGCACAAAGGUGGUGGCACGAUGGGUGGGCAGUACGGUGUCACCCUGGAGGACAGGAUGCGUUGGGCUCAGUUGGCAGAUACACUUUCUCAUCACAACAUCUACACUGAUGGGCGUAUGGGUGGUGAGGGUGGACCUAGCCUCUACACUGCCUCCAGUAGUGAUUACCUCACCGCAUCCCACCUUCACUCCCGCCCAUUCUCUGCCCUCAACCGUGUCACCCGCGCUCUCUCAAAUUCCACUCUGGGGGCUGUGGGCGGGAAUGGGCUGGUGGGGCGUCUCCAGAAGGUGUUUGGCCGAGCCCGCACCACCAGAACCCAACAUGGGAAGCGGCACAAAAACCAGCAGCCCACCACCCUCACUCUGCAGCAGCUGAUGGCACUCCACGCCCAGCUUUCUGUUCCUCCUGACCAGAUGCAGGCAGGUGGUACCCUUGCUGCUCAGUCCACUGCUGGCCACAGCACCUCACAAAUCUUCCAGCACCAGCACACUAGACAGAUGGCUGGCCAGUCCUCAGGAUACCCAUCACUAGGUACCAUUGGCUCCAGCACCUCCACAAACCCCCAGCAGUUUGGCUUGCAGCAUCUUAAUCCCAUGGCUCAUCUCAACUCCCUUGCCCACCAGCAGCAGCAGCAGCAAAACUACAGUAAACAAAAGGCAUAUGGAUCUCAGUCAACCUAUGGACAGUUUGGCCCCUCGUCACUGAACACCAUGUCCCACGAUGGUGUGUCCCGAGCCCCGACUCUUGGAGCAAGGACUCCAGUGCCAUUAGUGGAUGUUGGGGGAGCAACAACACUUGGCCCCAUGGGUGGAGGUAGUGUAGCUCACACAGGGCUUGAAGGAGCUGAGAAUGAAAUGGACCGGCCAUAUCACUUACCUCGCCCCAAGUCCCGCGUCUCCCUUGGGGUGGGUACCUUAGCUGCCCAACAUUCCCGCAUCGCACGCAGCUACAACUCUCUUCUCUUCUAGACCUUUGCUGCUGAAGUGCUCACGCCGCAGGGUAGAAGUGCUGUGCACAAUAUGUGGUUACCAUCAUAAUACUCAGUGUAAACAGUGGCACUCCUUCUCCUAGAUAAGCACAGACUCCAGUGACAUUUAUUAUGAGCCGGACGACCUCCAGACCUCCACCUCGCCCCGUGGUCCCCCCACCAGACCCCCUCCCCCACUCCCCAGGACCAUGCAUCCACAGACCUACAACUACCCAUUCUUCCAC
rnacentral:misc_RNA from 1 species